AUUGAACGCUGGCGGUAGGCCUAACACAUGCAAGUCGAACGCGAAAGUCCUUCGGGAUGAGUAGAGUGGCGGACGGGUGAGUAACGCGUAGGAAUCUAUCCUGUAGUGGGGAGUAACGUUUCGAAAGGAACGCUAAUACCGCAUACGCCCACGGGGAAAGCGGGGAGUCUUCGGACCUCGUGCUAUAGGAGGAGCCUGCGUCGGAUUAGCUAGUUGGUGAGGUAAAGGCUCACCAAGGCGACGAUCCGUAGCUGGUCUGAGAGGAUGAUCAGCCACACCGGAACUGAGACACGGUCCGGACUCCUACGGGAGGCAGCAGUGGGGAAUAUUGCGCAAU
rnacentral:rRNA from 1 species